rnacentral:misc_RNA from 1 species
AUGAAAAGUGGGAUACCGAAACACAUAAUGUUUUAUGAAAAUGGUGAGUGGAUUAAAUUUCCCCGUGAUCUUCUUGAUUUGGUCGUGGAAGAUCUGCAGGUAAAGAAAGCAUCUGUGGAAAUUAAGUUUAAUGGACAGCACUGUGUGCUAGACUUUUUGCAUAUGUUUUUCUUGGACUUAAAUACAGGGUUGCAACAACCUCUUGCAUGGAUUGAUGCAGCAGGGAGAUGCUUCUUUCCUGAGAUUUAUGGUGCAGAUACAAGUGAAUGCUGCCAUUCUAAUAAUUUUGGAAAUAAAGAACCACAGGUUGAAGAAGAUCAUGGGUCUGACGUAAUCAAGUUGCAGUUGGAAAUUGAAAUAAGUGGAGUUGACCAAUCAAGUUUGAAGGUGUGUAGUGGGGAAUCAAAU